rnacentral:rRNA from 1 species
UACGAAGGGGGCUAGCGUUGCUCGGAAUCACUGGGCGUAAAGCGCACGUAGGCGGCUUUUUAAGUCAGGGGUGAAAUCCUGGAGCUCAACUCCAGAACUGCCUUUGAUACUGAAGAUCUUGAGUUCGGGAGAGGUGAGUGGAACUGCGAGUGUAGAGGUGAAAUUCGUAGAUAUUCGCAAGAACACCAGUGGCGAAGGCGGGUCUCUGGGCCGAUACUGACGCUGAGGAGCGAAAGCGUGGGGAGCGAACAGG